AUCUGAUAUUGAGGAUGAAGACCUCUUUGCCUCUACUUCUACCCAGCAUGAGCUUUCAGGAUUCGGACUGAGCUGGUUCACAGAGGACCAAGUAAAGUGCCACCUGGCUUUGUUUUCCGUAGGAAUGAGAGUAAUGGGAGAAGUUGCCACCACUAAUAUUUUAAGAAGACAUUAGUAAGUGGUGAAAAGAUGGCAAGAAGUUGGCUGAUUUCUUCAAUUGAGAACAACAGCCUCUUUUGCUUCUGCUGCAAAUUGUUUUCCAAGAGAAACAUCAAUUUAACAAGUGCAGGAAUGGCAAAUUGGAAACAUGCAUGCAAUGAUCUCACAUCAUAUGAAAACAGUUGUUAUAAUAAAAUAUUGCUGUUUGUGCA